ACGUAGGGGGCAAGCGUUAUCCGGAUUUACUGGGUGUAAAGGGAGCGUAGACGGCGAUGCAAGUCCGAUGUGAAAACCCAUGGCUCAACCAUGGGAUUGCAUUAGAAACUGUAUUGCUAGAGUGCAGGAGAGGUAAGCGGAAUUCCUGGUGUAGCGGUGAAAUGCGUAGAUAUCAGGAGGAACACCGGUGGCGAAGGCGGCUUACUGGACUGUAACUGACGUUGAGGCUCGAAGGCGUGGGGAGCAAACAG
rnacentral:rRNA from 1 species